GGCUUAGAGUUUGAUCAUGGCUCAGGAUGAACGCUGGCGGCGUGCUUAACACAUGCAAGUCGAACGGAGAGCGUAUGACAGAGGAUUCGUCCAAUGGAUUACGUUUCUUAGUGGCGGACGGGUGAGUAACGCGUGAGGAACCUGCCUCGGAGUGGGGAAUAACACAACGAAAGCUGUGCUAAUACCGCAUGAUGCAGCUGGGUCGCAUGACUCUGGCUGCCAAAGAUUUAUCGCUCUGAGAUGGCCUCGCGUCUGAUUAGCUGGUUGGCGGGGUAACGGCCCACCAAGGCGACGAUCAGUAGCCGGACUGAGAGGUUGGCCGGCCACAUUGGGACUGAGACACGGCCCAGACUCCUACGGGAGGCAGCAGUGGGGAAUAUUGGGCAAUGGGCGCAAGCCUGACCCAGCAACGCCGCGUGAAGGAAGAAGGCCCUCGGGUUGUAAACUUCUUUUGUCAGGGACGAAGCAAGUGACGGUACCUGACGAAUAAGCCACGGCUAACUACGUGCCAGCAGCCGCGGUAAUACGUAGGUGGCAAGCGUUAUCCGGAUUUACUGGGUGUAAAGGGCGUGUAGGCGGGAUUGCAAGUCAGAUGUGAAAACCACGGGCUCAACCUGUGGCCUGCAUUUGAAACUGCAGUUCUUGAGUACUGGAGAGGCAGAUGGAAUUAAGCC
rnacentral:rRNA from 1 species